UUUGCAUGCAGGGUCCCUCUCUCUCCUCUGGGGCUGGAGGAGGGAUAAGAGAGACCUGUGGAGUGUCUGCCUCAGCAGAGCUCUGGGGUGUCUGCACCAUGGCCUGGACCCCACUCCUCCUCCUCACUCUCCUCCUUCACUGCACAGGGUCCCUCUCCCAGCCUGUGGUGACUCAGCUGCCCUCUGCAUCUGCCUCCCUGGGAGCCUCGGUCAAGCUCACCUGCACCCUGAGCAGUGCACACAGCAGCUACUUCAUUGAAUGGUAUCAGCAGCAGCCAGGGAAGGCUCCUUGGUAUGUGAUGCAACUUAAGAGUGAUGGAAGCAGCAGCAAGGGAGAUGGGGUCCCAGAUCGCUUCUCUGGCUCCAGCUCUGGGGCCAACCGCUACUUAACCAUCUCCAACCUCCAGUCUGAGGAUGAGGCUGACUACAUCUGUGGAGUAUCUCAUAGUGUUGGUGUACCAUUUGGGUAAAGCACAGUGAUCCAGAUGAAGAGGGAAGUGAGACAAAAACUAUUUUCUUGACUGCUACCAAGGCUGCCACCAGGAUCCCAGAAAUAGUGUCUGUUGUUCUGACCCCUCCUUGAUUACUUUGAUUGAAAUUUUACAAUGAGAGAACUAGGCACAUUCUGAUUUCUGUCAGGGGUUCCCUGGGACCAAGAUCAUUAGGCUAGGCAUGGAUAGAUUGAACAGAGAUAACAAUGAUAUAGAUGUUAUGGCUGAUCCUGUCGCUUCCAUGAAGGUUGCUACUUGGUCACUACAUGGGGGGAUGCAAGAACCUUCUAGUUUUCCAGAUUCAACCAUGGAGACUCCUCUACACACCUCACUUCUGCCUUUCAAAGGUUUAUAUGCAUGUCUGUAAUCCUAGCAUUCUGGGAGGCCCAGGCAUGUGGAUUACCUGAGCUCAGUAGUUCAAGACAAACCUGAACAAGAGAAAGAUCCCAUUUCCAUCAAAACAGAAAAAAUUCGCUGGGUAUCAUGGUAUUAGUCUAUAGUCCUAGGUACUCGGGCACUUGAGGCAUUAGGAUCACCCGAGCCCAAGAAUUUGAAGUUGCUGUGAGCUUUGACAAAACCGUGGCAGCACUCAACCUAGAGUUAGAGUCAGACUCUGUCUCUGAUAGUAAUAAUAAUAAUUAAUAAAUAACCACCUUGAAAUUCUUUUUUACUUCUAAGAAAUUUUGAAAUUCUACCUAUUUGGUGGAAAGCACAGACUGAAAAACUAGAACGAGAGAAUAUAAACUUGUGGCUAGUGUGAGAAAAAUUCUUAAGCACUUUGGCUGUUUCCAAACAUUUUCUUAAGUGGUCAAUGACUACAUUUUGGGAAUGAAGAACAAAGUGGAUGAAUUAAGCUCAAUGUAUAUAAGACAACUAUUGAGAUGUAAUAAUCUAAGAAAAAAGAAAAUAAAUUGCCAUUGAGGUCACUUGGUGCCUCUAAGCAAGAAAGGAUUUCUUUUUCCAUAAAAAGUAGUCAAGAAACACGCAAUGGUGGACCAGAGUCCUCUGAAAACCUGUCCCAUCAUAGACAGCAAUGGUAACAGUGAUAUGAAUUGUCUAAAUCAAUGUUUUCUGUACUCUGGACAUUUAUUAAAUAUUUGCAACAAUUUGGGGUCACUUAAGAAAAAAAUGUGCAGG